GCCUGCUUCUCCCUCUGCCUGUGUCUCUGCCUCUCUCUCUCUCUCUCUGUGACUAUCAUAAAUAAAUAAAAAUUAAAAAAAUAAAAUAAAAAUAAAAAGCGUGGUUCUAGGCGUGGCCCCAGACAUGGGCUGCUGGCUUAUCAUUCAGGGAUCUGGCUUCUAAACUUGGUUUUCCCAUAUCUGAUCAAGUGAAGGAAGGACGUACCUAAUUGCUUCCUUUAGGCACAGGUUGAUAGAGGAGAGGUUGGGAAUCCCAAUUUCCCUGUGCUCCUUCAGCUUAUACUGGUGAGUGGAGAGCAGGCUAAGAAAGCCUGCUCUCCUUAAUCCUUGUCCAUGUAUCCACAUGGGACAGAGGGAAGAAGAAAGCAAACCUGAGCAGAGAAGGCAUGGCCAAAAUGCUGGAGGAGGCAUGAUGUCCCAUGCACACCUUCUUCUCCGAGAGGAUUGCCUGUGCUAAGAAUGAAGAGUGCAGGGCACGGGUGAUGGGGAUGCAAAAAGGACCAGUGAUCUGACGGUCUGCCUCCAUGUGGGCACUGUCCAUCUGUGAGUUUCUACCCACCCUCUCCAAGCCCCAACCUCUGUUCUUUGCCCUCUGAAUUUCUUCUUUCCACCUGGGCUGUCUUUUGUUCUCUUUCUCCCUGAGGCUAUGACAGUGGCAGGGUGCCCAGCCAGGACAUGGACAUCAGCCAUGGUUCUAAGUUCUCUGCAAGUGUGUGAGUGUGUGUGUAGGGGCUGGGGAUGGGGCUGGAGGUCAUUCACAGAUCAGAGCACAGGAGGGGAGAGAGAGCUCCUGAGGGUAGGACUGCUGGUCAUUCACACCCUACGCCCUGGAGCCCUGAGGACCUGUCACUCGGACCCACCACCAGCCAGAGCAGCAUCAGUCACUGACCAGAGGAGCCCAGAAGCCACAGGAGUGCCCACAUGGCUGGUACAUUGGAGACGCUCUGGAAUAAAUACACCUGGGCCUUUGAAAACGGAGUCCUUGGUUCAUGUCCAGAUGGAAGCCUCUGAGGUUAGCAGGACCCCUCGCUGCCUACAACCCGGGCCUGGUAGCUCUCUCAGGGUAUCUAUUCUGUGAGGUCUUCUGUAUAUUAGGAAGGAAGCCAGAGCAGAUCACCUUCCUGCAAGUCUGCCAUGUUCUUCAAUCCAUGGGGUGGAGUCAGAUAUGUGCCGCAGAGUCAAGGGUAUACAGCUCCACAAAGUCACAGAGAGCCCUGAAUUAAAAAUGGAGAGAAGCUGCCUUUCAGCUGUGUCUGCAACCUGUUAAGAACGGAGAGCAAAGGAGGCUGAGCCGGCAGCGAUUGCAGGUGCUCCUGCAAGGAUCAAGAGCGCCCUCCAGCGCCAGGAUUGUGAACUUCACCCCAACCCUGGACAACCUGGGGCUGUCUGAAGAUCCAGCUUCUGCUUACCUUUCUUCAUUAAGGCAGCUAGAUAAGGGGACCUUCCCUGCAUUAAGAUUAUCAGCCAAAUCAUCUGAGAACAACAAACCUAAAUUCUUGGCUUUUGAGGAAAAGUCUAAGUUCACAUGUAGGGAAAGAUUGGAAAAUAUAUAUGAGAUUGAGCAGGGUUGGGUUUUUUUCUUCUUCUUUCUUCCUCCUUUCCUUUUCCUCUUCUUCCAUCCCCACCUGCACCCCCACCAUCUAAUAAAACCAAGGGGUCGUGGAGGUUGGAAGUUAUGUAAUUCAGUUAGACGUGAGUGUGGAGACUCUGUGUCAUGUACCAGCUUCAUUUAGUUUGAAGAUUUGAGCAAGGGAUAACCUUGUUGAAGUCUAGGGAUGUGAUAAAUCUUCCAGAUGAGACAGUAGAUAUACAAAUGGACAAUGGUGAGACCAUCUAUAAAAGUAGAGCUCAGAUCCAGUCUGCAGAACCAACCCAGGAAACCAAACCAUUACUGAUAGUACCCAGCCCAGGAAAUCAGAGAAGCUGUGAGAUCAGCCUCUCUCAGUGAGAUCAGAUCAGGAAAUCAGCCUGCUAACUACAAGUCACUGGUAGGAAAUAAGAGCAACCAUCUCUAGCAAGUGGUCCAGAAAGCCACACAAUAACCUCUAUAACAACCACCUCAAACACUAGGACUUAAAACUGACAGAUUCCCUAAUUUUUGUCCCUGCUCCCAACUUAGGACCAACCCAAAAAAAGCUAAAUAUGCACGCACUCCUGACCAAUUGCAUAGGAUGCCUUGCUUCAAGUUAGCACACCAACAGUUUCCCCAUACCAGCAGCCUCCAAUCAGGGCACAUCUGAAUCCUUUCCUUCCCACUAUCUAGGUUUCCUAACUCUGUCUGCUUUGAGAUUCUGCCAAAUGCAAUGGAGAUUGACUCCCUGCUAUCACAAGCUUUGCUUGUUCCCCUUUGGUUCCACUUCCUUUAUUUGCACAUAUAGAAGUCUCCUGUGCUUGCAACUGCAGCAGCCUUAAGGUAGUAUGGUCUGCCUAUGCUGGGGAGGGCUGGAAAAGUUUCUUGAGUUUCUCGUGACUUUGCACUGACCCAAGAGGUAGGGUUGCCAAAUAAAAUGCAGAAUGUCCAGUUACAUUUGAAUUUCAGAAAAAUAAUGAAUAAUUUUCAACAUAAAUAUGCAAUAUUUGGGGCAUACUUAUUCUAAAAAGGUAUUCGCUAUUUAUCUGAAAUUCAAAUGUAACUGAGUGUCGUAUAUUUUUAUUUGCUAAAUCUGGUAAUUCUACAAGGAGGGCAACUCAGUGCUCUCAUGCCCCAUUCCCACAACUGGAAAGAAAAAUUUAAGAAGUCAGGAGUGAGAUCCCUGGUGAGUCUAGAAAGAGUUUCAGAGCUAAAAGGGGGAAAACACAUCAGAGGUGAUUUGGGUAAACUUCCCAGGGAUUGGAUGAAGAUACAGCUGUGUCUCAAUGGAUUGCCAUGGUAGAGGAGGCAUGCCCAAAAACUAGAAGCAAAAUGAUCAUUGUAGAGCAAAAUAGUGAGCUGGACAUAUGUAGGUCCAGAAGACGGUGUCCACUUCUCACCAAUGAUGCUACAUUUGUGUAAACAUUACACCCAUCCCCACCCUGCCCCUCACCACAAGCCUAACAUCAACCCAGAAAGAAGGGAGGCAGAUGGAAGCAACAUCCUGAAAAUGAUUGAGCUGUCAAUCUAAAAUGACAUGUUAAGACUUCUAGGGGAGUGUGUCAUCAUUGCUGGAUUUGACCAGUUUACCUGGAAAGAACUAGAUUACAUUUCUGCAUCUGUCAGAAUGGACCCUCAAUAUUAAAAAGCAAAUCUAGUUCCUCCAGAGAAGUGUGUCAAAUCUCACUCUAUUUGGUCUGCAUCAUGAAAACAAUAGUGUUAUUUUUCACUUUCCAAAUACUAAGUUACAUUUUAUUGAAUAUACUUUUCAGCCUUCAUAUCAACCUCCCAUGUCAUCAAUGUUGACAUUGACUAGACUAUCUAUGUUGAGAAUCAUUGACUUAAAGUCUACCUUGUUUUCUUCCUACAUAACAGAUUGAUGAUGAUGAAGGUGAUGAUGAUUAUGAUGAUGGUCAUGAUGACAAUAGUGAUUCCCCCCAGUUGAGGGCAUGCUGGAUUCCACUUACUUUCUAUGUAUCAUCCAACCAGAUCACAACUCUGCAAGCUGGGCAUCAUUGUCCCCAUUUUACAGAGAAAAGUGAGGCUCAGAGAGGUCCAGCGACUUGUUCAAUGUAUCAGAGAGUAAGUGAUGGAAUGGAUUAAAAUCCAGAUUUGUCUAAUUCCAAAGCCUGUGACUUUUCCACACAGCCCCACUGCUGGCCACCACAGUUCCCUAAUUCGCAGGAAAUUCUUGCAUCCUUUGGUUGGCUCUAAUUAUAGUCUUUCUAAAGAGGAAUGUGCUGGGCUCUCUUCCUGGCAUUGACUGCACCUCACUGGGAAUGUUGGGCAUCUUUAAAAUUUCAUUUAUUAAUAAACACUUAUAUAAUGCCUGCUGGGUGCCAGACACUGAUCUGAGCAGUUCAUAAAUAUUAACUCACUUAAUCUUUACGGCAACCCCAUGGUUAAGCACCAUUAUUAUUAUUAUUACUCUUAUUUUACAGAUGAAGAAACUAAAGCAAAGAGAAGUUAAGUGACUAGCUCAAGGUCACACAGCCAGUAAGUUUUGUAGAGCCAGGUUUCACAUCUAUUAUUAUGCAGUGCAACCCACUCUUCCUUCUGAGAUUUGGAUUUCUCAUCCUAACCUUUCCUUUAACUAUUUCCUGUAGGUGCUGAGAGAACGAUGGGGUCAAGGGCUUAGAGUUCCCCAAAAGAAAGGUUCUGGAUAAGCUCAAGUUUUAAAAAACAUCCAUCAUAAGGUGAAAGCUGGCAUGGUCCAGCUGAAGCUCCCAGCAAUUAUUAUCUCUGUUUCAAAAAACAGGUCCUGCCUUAUGUCCAGAGUUUGCUCAGUGCUGAUGGCUUCUAAGAAGGCUCCUCCUUCUGAGAUUGAAAACCCAAUAUCUAGACUUGGUGGUCUUAACCUUCCUUCCUAUCCACAGCUCUCUUCACACUCUCACUGCCUCCCUUAUCAGCCAAGCUGCACAGGCCAGAGAGGUGCAGAUGGAAGGGAGAGUCGACAGGGGGCGCUGUCUCCUUCGAGUAAGCACUGUGGCUGCCCUAACCUGGGAAGUCACACACCACCAGGUGGAAAACCUCUGCCUCUUAGAGUCACGUGGUUUUGACAAGCUGCCAAGCAUCCCACCUUUUAGAAUUUCUUAUGCUCUAGCAAGCAAUGACCUGGAAACUCUUCAGAGCUAUCAGUCAUUCACACCUGUCACUGGCUUUUCCCCAAAAGGACAUAACAGAGACUUGACAUGGCCAAAGGCAGGGUGGACAAAGGUAUAGCAAGUUAGGAAGAGAGAGCCCACAAAAAGCUCCUUCUGUUAUACCCUUGUUCAGACGAGAUGCCCUAAUAAUGGCAUAACAACUAGCAGUUACCAGGGCUCUGCAUUUACAUCUCAAUAAAUCUUAGAUAACUUGCUUACCUGCAUUUAACUCUCAGUUUCCAUAUUUGUAAACUAGGAUUCAUAAUAGCAUCUAUCUCAUAAGGUUGUGAUUGAGGAUAAAAUGCCAUAUGUAUGUAAGACGAUCACUUGUGUAGUUAAAGAUUAAGCAUAUAGUAAGAACUCAAGAAAUGUAAAUUAUUAUGAUUAUAUAAUAAAUACCAGCUUCUGUGCAGUUUGCUAUUUUACAUGAACCCAAUUAUAACCUAUGGAGUCAAUGUUUAUUUCCCAUUUUACAGAUCAAAAAUGUUAACAAAUAUUUAGAGAAGUUAAAUUACGUGCUCAAGCCACCUGCUAAUAGAGGUACAGAGUGAGGCCCCAAAGUCUUGGUUGGCUACCUUCCAAUGUCACACCUAUUACAUUGCCUAUAGACAGUGUUAGCAGUCACCUUCUUCUUCCUCCUCAGCCAACACACACGCGCACACACACACACACACACACACUCUCUCACACACUCAUUCACUGCUACUUCCACUUGUUCCUGAGCUCCAGGAAAGCCACCCUUACAACGUGGUAAUUGGCUUUCAUACCACCCAGUGUACUACACUAACUCUGGAGAGUGGAGAGAAACCAGGCAGUUCAGAGAGUCAGCCAUGGGGGCGUCUGCAAGCCAUUUCUUUGUUGGCAGAGACAAAGGCUCUGAAGCUUAGUAAAAAAAUCCAAUGGGUGGUGGCUAAGUCCCAGCUGAAAGUGUGAAAGUUCUAAUCAUGAUCCUCCCCAUCAUAUUCCUACUGAUGGCAUCAGCCUACUAAAAAUAAGGAAGAUAUUUCCCCAAGAUUAAUGAAAAGAAAGGAAGAGGCUGGGAGGUGGGGGUUUGGCGUCGGCUGGGGAAGGGGAAAUAGAAAGCAACAGACAUUAAAAUAGCAGCAAAUGAAUACUGUGUAAUUUCAAACAGUCGAUAAUGUCACACUGCAAGGUUGGUAAUUCUGCGGAGAUAAUUGCCCUUCCCCAGAUUACUGUCUUUACCAGAGAAAGAAGUGAUGGCUGUGUGUGAGAAAUCACAUUGCCUCUCACUUCAUGAGCAGUGGCAGUGAUUAAUGAGAGGUCAGGCUUCGAGUUCACAAAUAUUUUAUCCAUGCACAGGGACUUUUAGGAGUAGAGACACAGCUCUUCGAGCAAAAAACAUGAUCAAUGCUUCUUCCACAAACAGGGAGACUGAGAUACUCAUGGAAUGAUGGAGCCUUUUGAGUCACGUUUUAUCUUCCAGCAAGUCUGGGUCUGAAGAAUUAUGGCUUGACAUGACUGGCCACUCAUGGGUGUUUCCCUGCUGCAGAGAGAUUGUCUGCUGGAGAAACCACUGAACUUGACUCCCCAGACCUGGGUUAGACAGCCUUGGGUUGCUCAGCCUCUGCUUCUUCUCUGGAGCAAACUUUCAGGUGUUUGUUAUCAGUACAAUGGAAGAAUUUGACUAGCUAACAGUGUCGGUUCCACUCAGCACUCAAAGCUCCAUCCUCAGAGUCUCUCUGGGAGGGGCAGGAACACUGUGGCAGGCUGUGUAAUGGUCCUGCAAAGAUGUCCAGGUCCUCAUCCCUCAUAUAGCAAAGAGGAUUUAGCAAUGUGAUUAAAGUAAGGAUCACAAAAUAGGAAGCCAGCAUAAUUGAAGGUCCUUAGAAGAUGGAAGAAAAGCAAAGGAGACAUGAAAAAAGAAGCAGUGUUGGAGGGAUGCUAUUCCACUAGCUUUGAGGAUGAAGGAAGGGGCUAUAAGCCAAGGGAUACAGGUGGCUUCUAGCGAAUUCUUCCUGGAGACUCCAGAAGGAACCAGACCUGCUGACACCUUAAUUUUAACCCAGAAAGAUGCAUUUUUGUACUUCUAACCUCCUGAAUUAUAAGAUAAUAAAUUUAUACUGUUUUAAGCCAUCACUUUGGGGUAGUAUGUUAGAGCAGCAAUAGGAAACUAAUAUUAACAGCAAGACCAGGGGCCAGACGAUGACCAGUUUACCCCCAAACCCACCACUUAGGGCAACUGCAGUGCUGGGCAGUUUUACUUUCCACCAAACUGGGAACCCAUAGCUCCAUGACUGGGUUAACAGAGAGGAAAACCAUUAAUAUAAUGACACCACUAGUCACUACAAGCAACUAAUGGAGAUGAUUUAGGGCCCAUGCAUUCAUUUGGCACCUGUCAGAUUACAUGGACUAGCUAGCAUUAACAAUAUUAAUAUCAAUUGAGUGCUUAUGAUUUUCUAUACAUUUUAAUGCCUAAAACAAGUACGAAAGGUAAGCAGUAUUAGUGUCUUUAUUUGACAGAAGAAGCUGAGGCAGAAGCUAGGGCAGCCUGCGUGGCUCAGUGGUUUAGUGCUGCCUCC